rnacentral:rRNA from 1 species
CCUACGGGUGGCAGCAGUGGGGAAUAUUGGGCAAUGGACGCCAGUCUGACCCAGCAACGCCGCGUGAAGGAAGAAGGCUUUCGGGUUGUAAACUUCUUUUAAGGGGGAAGAGCAGAAGACGGUACCCCUUGAAUAAGCCACGGCUAACUACGUGCCAGCAGCCGCGGUAAUACGUAGGUGGCAAGCGUUUGCCGGAUGUACUGGGUGUAAAGGGCGUGCAGCCGGGGAGACAAGUCAGUUGUGAAAUCCACGGGCGCAACCCGUGGACUGCAUUUGAAACUGGUUCCCUUGAGUGUCGGAGAAGUAAGCGGAAUGCCUGGUGGAGCGGUGAAAGGCGUAGAUAUAAAGAAGAACACCAGUGGCGAAGGCGGAAUACUGGACGAUAACUGACGGUGAGGCGCGAAAGCGUGGGGAGCAAACAGGAUUAGAUACCCGGGUAGUC